rnacentral:misc_RNA from 1 species
UUUAGGAAUUUGUAUAUUUUUUUUUUUUUUUUUUUUUUUUUUUUUUUUUUUUUUUUUUUUUUUUUUUUUUUUUUUUAACAACGUGGUUUUUUUUUUUAUUUUUUUUUUUUUUUUACUAUAAAUUAUUACUAACAAGCUCAUGUUCUUCAAUUUUUUCCGUGCUAAAACUGAAAAAGAAAAUUUCGGUUAAUAUUAGAUUCGCUGUGAUCCAUUACCCUGUGUAUAUUUAUACUUGAUUGUUUGAAAUCCUGGUUCUA